GUAUAAGACCAUAUAUAUAUAUAUAAAUGUUUGAUCGAUCGAAAUGCUUAUUCCGAGUAAGAUAAGUAAACUACAAGAACGAAGCCUCAAUCAUGGUAAUGUAAUGAAAAUCAUGUAGAAAAUCCGAGUACAUUCGUAGUUUACGUUUGACUAAACAAAUUCCAUCAACCAGAGAGAUUCGCCCGAGAGGUGGUCAAGAAGAGCCACAAGUUGUAGAGACAUUUGAGAAAAAGAACGUGUGAUAGCACCACUGCCCUCACCAACCCUGCUACAAAAGAGAAAAGUCAAAAAAAAUUUUCUUUAAAGAGUUAUCGCGAAGAAACGGAUAUGGAGUCCUACAACAUGGAGCAAGGGAAAACAUUAGCAACACAAUGCGAAGAAGUAUUUUAUGAUACGUUGCACACCCCCAAUUAAGCGGCCCAGAAAGGAACUGGCGAUAGAGUUUUGUGUUAAUCCUAGACAUGAGGUCUAGAUCUUUUGGAAAGUCAUGCUAGAUUAUCUUACCACGAAUAGUCCAGUCGAACCAAAAAGGGCACGAAACCAGCAAUGUUUAGAGAAAGAAGCCAACACCCCUAUACUAUUUCAAUAUUAAAAAAUAAACAUAAGUAAAAUGAAGUCCGUACUAAAUCAUGACAAAAUAGAUCUCGACAAGAACAAAAGUAUCCUAAAGACUGUGAAAAGUAGACUACCCCAGCUAAGCGAGAGGUUACGAGGUCAACCCGCUACCUCAAUGGCUACAAUUACGAUCGAUGCAAGCAUUAGAGAACUCAGUAUUUGACGAUGAAAUCUAAGAUGAGGAAUGGCUUCACUAGUCAGACAAAAUAAAUUAAUCAAUGGAUGGCUUAGAUCAACCACAUUAUCUCAAUCACUAUAUAGAAUGGUGCUUAAUGAGUUAGGAGAACUUAAGAUCCAGUUACAAGAACUAGUAGACCUGGGUUUCAUCCGACCCAGUGUAUCACCAUUGAGCGCACCAGUACUCUUCUUAUAAGAAGAAAGAUCGAACAUUGAGAAUGUGUAUUGACUACCGAGAGUUGAUCAAAGUUGACACUCAAGAACAAGUACUCUCUACCAAGGACUAAUGAUCUAAUUGUCUAACUUCGAGGAGCCGGUGUGAUCUCAAAAAACGGACUUGAGAUCAAUUUAUCACCAACUGAAGGUCCGACAGGACGAUAUACCCAAAACUGCAUUCCGCACCAGAUAUGGCCAUUACGAGUUCACUGUAAUGCAUUUUGGGCUUACCAAUGCCCCAGUUGUGUUCAUGAAUCUAAUGAACCGCGUGUUCCACCCAUACCUGGACAAGUUCGUCCAAGUCUUUAUAGACGAUGUGCUCAUCUACUCGAAGAAUGAGAAAGAACACGAGGAACAAUUGAGGAACACUUUGGAGACGUUAAGAGCCGAAAAGCUCUAUGCCAAGUUUAGCAAGUGUGAGUUCUGGCUUAGCAAAGUAAAUAUCCUUGGACACAUAGUGACGGCAGAAGGGAUCCGAGUAGACCCUUCCAAAGUAGAAGCAGUACAACAUUGGCAGUCACCAACGACACCCAAUGAAAUUCGGAGUUCCUCAGGAUUGGCCGGAUACUACCGAAGAUUUAUUGAGGGAUUUUCUAAAAUAGCAAGACCAUUGACUCAACAACUCAAGAAAUGAGUUAAAGUCAAUUGGACACCGGAAUGUGAAGCAAGUUUCCAGCUGUUAAAAGAAAAGUUGACCACCGCACCAGCCCUAGCCGUGCCAGAACCGGGAACAGGUUAUGUGGUGUAUACAGAUGCAUCAAAGAUCGGACUCGGAUGCAUGUUGAUGCAGAAUAGCAAGGUGAUUUCACACGCAUCACGCCAGUUAAGGCCGUACGAGUUAAACUACCCAACACACGACCUGAAAUUGGCGGCAGUGGUACAUGUGUUGAAGAUUUGGAGACAUCAUCUCUACGGAGUUCGAUGCGAAAUCUUCACGGAUCACAAAAGCCUCAAGUACUUCUUUGAGCAAAGGAUCUGAACAUGCGACAACGCAGAUGGCUCGAAUUAGUAAAAGAGUAUGACUGUGGUAUAAAUUACCAUCCAGGAAAGGCAAACGUAGUGGCAGACGCCUUGAACAGGAAGGCUACACCCCAUUUGGCCACUUUUCUCACACAUGAUGAAGAUCUGAUACGAGAGUUUCGUAAGAUGCGAUUGGAAGUAGUAAGGGCACCGGAAACGGUAGAAAGUAGGAUCGCCACCUUGGAUAUUGAACCGGACCUAAGGGCCAGAAUCGUUGAGGCUCAAAGAUGUGAUGAAGCAUUAGAGAAAAUCCGUCUGAGAGUGAGGACGGGGAAAGAAGAAAGUUACCGCGAAGAGGCAGAUAACGCCCUCACUUUUGAAAGAAGAUUUCAUUUGCCCAAUGAUGAGACACUUAGAAAUGAGAUAAUGAGUGAAACACAAGAAACACUAUACACUGCUCACCCAGGAGCACAAAAAUGUACCAAGAUAUGAAGAAAACAAUUUUGGUGGAAUGGCAUGAAGAGGAGCAUAGCGUCGAUCGUAGAAAGAUGCCUGACAUGUCGGCAAGUGAAGACUCUACAUCAACGAUCCUAUGGGAAGCUGCAGCCCCUGGAAAUUCCAAAAUGGAAAUGGGAACAUAUCACGAUGGAUUUUGUGACGGGACUGCCAAAGUCCCUACGAGGAAAUACUGCCAUCUGGGUGAUUAUAGAUCGCCUCACCAAAACUGCUCACCUUAUACCAAUCCGUAUCAUGUAUGGAUCGGACAAGUUAGUCCAGAUCUAUGUGCAGGAGAUCAUACGUUUACAUGGGGUACCGGUAACGAUCACUUCAGAUCAUGAUUCAAAGUUUACUUCCAGAUUUUGGAUAAGCCUGCAGCGAGAGCUAGGCACCCGGUUAAAUUUCAGUACCGCAUUCCAUCCACAGACGGACGGGCAGUCUGAAAGGACGAUCCAGACAUUGGAGGAUAUGUUGAGAUGCAUAGUACUCGACCGUGGAGGGAGCUGGGAGCCAGUACUACCACUUAUAGAGUUUGCUCACAACAACAACUAUCAAGCAACUAUAAAUAUGGCCCCAUAGGAGGCACUGUAUGGGAAGAAAUGUAGGUCACCACUGUACUGGGAUGAAGUCGGUGAGAGAAAGAUUCUUGGACUAGAACCUAUAGAAGAGAUGAUAGAAAUUGUCCGACAGAUCCGAGAAAGAAUCAAGGAAGCUCAAGACAGGCAAAAGUCUUACGCAGAUGUUCGCCGAACUGAUCUGCAGUUCAUGGCGGGAGACAAGGUUUUUCUGAAGGUAUCCCCGUCUAAAGGGAUUACGAGAUUCGGCGUCAAGGGCAAGCUAAGACCGUGUUUUAUCAGACCCUAUGAAAUACUAGAAGAAGUCGAUCCUGUGUAGUAAUGUUUUUCAUGUGUCAAUGUUUUUCAUGUCUCACCAUUGAGGAAAUAUGUGUUCGACCCCAAACACAUAGUUCACCAAGAAGAAAUGGUGUUAGCACCAGAUUUGAGCUAUGAAGAGAAACCAGAGGCAAUCGUGGAUCGGAAGAUAAAAGAAUUGAGGGAUAAAUCUUUUGUAACAAUGAAAGUUCUAUGGAAACAUUAUGGCCAUGAGGAAUGUUAGUAUGCCUUGAAUUUGUUUCCUAAUUGUGAUAGGAUUAUAUUUCCUAAUUGGGAUAUGAUUAUGUUUCCGAAUUAGGAUAGGAUCUGUGCCUAUUUAUAUGUGAGUAGAGCACAUAAUUCUGUUAUCGUGAUCCUAGAUCUGAAAUCUGUAACUGCAGUCAUAAUACAAUUUGUUCUCCGUUCCUGCCCGUGGAUGUAGCCAAUUGGCGAACCACGUAAAUUCUGUGUCUCCUUACGUUCUUUCGUUUGUCGAUUACACAAUUACUCUAUUCUAUCAUAACAAGGAAGCUACAUGGAAACUAGAAGACAAGAUGAAAGAGAAGUACCCAGAGCUUUUUGUUUGACGUAAGCAAAUUUCAGGACGAAAUUUUCAUUAAGGAGGGUAGAAUGUAACACCCUCUCCUUUAAAAGCCAUUUGAGGAAAAAUGACAACUCUCCUUUAACCAUUGGAGACAAAUGCCUCACCAAAGAGAGCAAGACAAAUCCAAACAAAUGAGAGUUAUUAGCCAAGUACCUAGUACUACAAAUCCAAACAAAUGAGAGUUAUUAGCCAAGUACCUAGUACUACAAAUCCAAACAAAUGAGAGUUAUUAGCUAAGUACCUAGUACUACAAAUACCACCAAAACUCCUUAACUAAUGGUACUACAAAGAGAUCAAAUAAGAGGAUAUGCUAUGUAUGAAAACAAAUGAGGAUCAACCCCAUUUAAUUCCCCAAAGUACACCAAGUUUUGCCUAUAUAAACCCCUUCACACACAUCAAACUUCACUCUUACACACUUCAAAUCAACCAAGUUUAGAGUUGAGAGUGAGAAAGAGCAAGAGGAGCUACGGUGGUUCCAAGGAUCAGAAAUCUCAGUCCCAACUACAAUAGGUUGAACGUGUACGAGGAGGCGAAGGUGUUGGGAAAUGACCAUUAAUAAGUAGUUAGGUAGCCCAAAGUAGUAUGUCUUCAUACGUACUAUUUUGUCUUGGACUCUUCCGCUGCAACAAGAUUAUGUACUAGGAAUUAUGAACCAUGUCAUUAUACUCUGAUUUUAUUUUGACUAUGUACCAUUUUCACUUUCAGAAUUAAUGUUUUGAGUUUGACUUAUUGCUUAUGUUGAUCCUUUCUAUUUGAGACUA